UCCCUGGUAGCUCAGAUGGUAAAGCAUCUGCCUGAAGUGCAGGAGACCCAGGUUGGAUCCCUGGGUUGGGAA
rfam:TPA: Bos taurus chromosome 24, whole genome shotgun sequence.